UCCGCCGGCCCGGGAGUCGACGGCGCAAGACUUCCCGCUGACAAGGUGCUUGACUUGGCUCUCCACCCCGUCCCCGAAGUCCCUGAGCGCCCAGAGACGCCCAACCGGCGGCUAGAGAGCACUGGGCGGUGGCCAAACCACCUCCAAAAUUUUGGGCCACACGUGGGAUGGUAUUCGGGAAUCAGAGAGGUCACUACUCUACACAAAUGCACACCUGGUCACAGGGGACCUGACAAAGUGUGACCUGCACUGGCCCCACCUCAGGGCAGUCGCCCUCGCAUCCCCAGACCAGACUGGGCUUGGAGCAAUGUCCUGCAUGGUGGGCCCGAGUGAGCGGGCGUGGCCUCCUGAGGCCUCCAGACGGCGCAGACUGUCUUUUGUUUGGGCACAGAUUUGGGAAUGCUGCAGCCCGGGCUGGAAGAGGGUCUGGAAUACCUUCCCGUUCCUCAUGUGUCUGCAUCUCGAAGGCCUCCCCAGCACUCACUGGUGGUUAUUUCAAGUGCACCUGUUCCUGAAACAGCUUGAGAAUCCCACGGACUUGUCGUUAGGACGCAGGUGCAUCUUCAUUACCAAGUUUAGUUCUCCAGGUACUACGUAUCUGGUGUUCUUGUUUGCUCUCGGCUCCUCCUCUUUUCAGGAAACCGUUCAGCGUUCGCUGAGGGUCUAGGCCUGUGUGGGACACACCGACGGGAUGCGACGGAGUUUUUCUGCAAAGUACAUACUUGCAUUGUGGCUACUAGAUUGCAGAACUCUGUCCGGUGCCAAAACUGUAGAGCACAGGCAAUGGCUUUGGUUCUAAUACGUGGCCUGCAGAUCUAGAGGAGUCCGAAUCUUCAAGGAAGGAGGAGUGUUUGUUGGUUGGUUUUACGAUUUAUCUAUUUAUUUUAGAGAGGGGGGCAUGUGCACGCGCUUGUGGGAGUGGGGGCGGGUUGAGGGAGAGAAACUCAAGCAGACUCCCUGCUGAGCCACCCAGGUGGGCGGGGCCCCGAGGAGGCGGGGUUUGGAGGUAGGUCUUCAAGGACACCGGGAGCUGGAUAGUGACGUGGGGGACCAAGGCAGAAGGAAAUAUAGAUAAACUUUAAUGUCCUUAUAACCUGCAGCCCAUUGAGAAGUGCUGGAGAUAGGCUCAUUAUAACCUUCCUCCGGAUUCUGAGGCUUUAACAUGGGAAAGUCCUCUUGGAACUUCCCCUUAUCUUCACUUUUCCUAGCCCCAAAGUGUAUAAUCACUUGCUCUUCACAAUCCCAGGGCUGCAGGGAUCCCACAGCCACAGAAGCUCCUUCUGCCCCCCAUGCCCUGUCCCCGCACUCUGUCCCUGCUCCCUGUCCCCGCGCUUUCAUAAAACCACCGUUUUGCAUCAAAGAUGUCUCGAGAAUUCUUUCUCGGCUCUCAGCUCCGGACUGCACCAACUUUACAAAACUGUGUGCGUAGUUGACCUUGGCAGGAGACAGGUUCCCUGGGAGAGUGAGAGGCCGUGCUUGCCUGUGGGGGAGAAUUCCUGUUUGGGGUCGGAGUGGUAGGGUGGCGGCAAGUUAUGGGGGACUUUGGCAACUGAACACCUCUUGAGGGGCGCCUGGGUGGCUCCGUGGGUUAAAGCCUCUGCCUUCGGCUCAGGUCAUGGUCUCAGGGUCCUGGGAUCGAGCCCUGCAUUGGGCUGUCUGCUCAGCAGGGAGCCUGCUUCCUCCUCUCACUCUGCCAGAGAUCUUGUGAUCUCUGUCAAAUAAAUAAAUAAAAUCUUUUUUAAAAAAAACACCUCUUUAGAUAUGGCAAAGAGAGGAAAGAGCACCUGUGUCUCUUAAGCCCCGUCUAGCCUAAUGACAGCUCCCUACCGCAAGAACCUGUGUGAGGAUAAUAAGAUCCACGGAACUGGGGUUCUGGGGGUUUCUCGCGAGAAGCAAUCUAUCUAUUAAGUGUCGACUUAGGUCUCCAUUUUUGUCCUCAGUCCGGAGGAAUCGUGAGCAGAGCUGAGGCUGUAUCAUGUUUUACUCUUUCCCUGGGGAGAAGAAAAUGCUGACCUCCCGACCCUGGGGAUGUCUGACAUUGACCUUUCUUUUAUGGCCGUGUUUCCUCCACAAAUCAGGAAGCUGCUGCAUUUUCCCUUUCAAGAACACAUUGCUGGGGCAUCUGGGUGGCUCAGUGGGCUAAGCCUCUGCCUUCAGCUUGGGUCAUGAUCUCAGGGUCCUGGGAUCGAGCCCCACAUCGGGCUCUCAGCUGGGUGGGGAGCCUGCUUCCCUCUCUCUAUCUGCGUGCCUCUCUGCCUACUUGUGAUCUCUCUCUCUCUCUGCGUCAAAUAAAUAAAUAAAAUCUUAAAAAAGAACAAAAACACAUCGCCAUGACUGAACACCUAGGCAUCCGUUCCAUACACGCUGACAUCCCCCGUCAUGCGUGCUAUAGUAAUAAGCCGCAACAGAUCAAUGGGGAAGUGUAAUCUGGUCUUGUGGACCUGAAAAUCAAAUCAAAAUACAAGGAGAGCAGGCCAGGGGUCGGCAAACUCUGUAAAAGACCAGACAGUAAAUACUUUAGGCUCUGGGGUCAUUCAUCUCUGUCAUCGGAGGGUGAAAAGCAGCCAUAUAUUUUUUUUAUAUACGUUGAGUGUGGCCUUCCUUAUCAGUAUCAUUUUCACAUAAUUCAGUAUACGUUUCUUUUUAAGAUCUUAUUUAUUUGUUUAUUUGAGAGUGCGCAUAAGCGAGGGGAGCUGCAGAGGGAGAGGGAGAAGCAGACUCCCCGCUGAGCAGGGAGCCCAACACGGGGCUCGAACCCAGGACCCUGGGAUCAUGACCUGAGCGAAAGGCAGACGCUCAACGGACUGAGCCACCAAGGCGCCCCUUGGUACACAUUUCAUACAAUGGUCAAGUGUCAUGAAGCACCCUCCUUUUGAUUUUUGUUCAACCAUUUAGCAAUGUAUAAACCAUACUUAGCUCCCAGGUCCCAUGGAAACCAGUGGCAGAGCAGAGGGGGGGCCAUGGGCUGUAGUGGAUGUGUUGAGUCCUAAAAGGACUGUUAUAGAUGGAGGCCCAGAAUGCAGGGAAACAGGGUGGGCAGAGGUCAGCCAUUUCUGCAGGACCCGGCCGGGUUCAGGGGAUGCUUCCUGGACGAGGGGAAUUGCACACGGGUUUUGAAGGUUAAGUACUUGUUUGCCAAGAGGUCUGUUGAAGGGGGUGGGAAGCGGAGCUGAGUUCCAGGCUACUUGAUCAAAGGCACAAAGGCAAGCGGACCUGGAUGGAGGGUGUGGCGUGUUUGGAACUGGGCGGGUUUGGCCUGGCUCCAGCAUGGGAGCAGGGAGCCUUGGAAUGGUUGGAAGUGGGCAGGGAACUUGAGCCAUGUUUUGCAAAAGCCCUUUAUUGCGGUGCCAGAGUGGAUUUUAUUCUCAGGAAUUGGAAGUCUUACAAGUUUCUCAGUGGAAGUGAUUCAAAGCUGCAGAUAUGGAGGCCUGGUUUGAGAAGGGGCGUGGGAAUACUUAGUGGGAGGCUGGGCUGGCAGGUAGGAACUGGCCUGAGGGUUUGUCCCCACAGGGGGUUGUGGGCUCUGCCAGCAACCAGAAGAGAGGUUUCUUCAGGUGGAGUCCAGGGAGGGAAGCCAAAAGCUCGGAGCCAGGUACAGUCUGCAGGGCACAGAGUGUGGCAGGACCUGGCACAGCACUCUGAGGACUGAGAGCAGGAGAUGGGGCUGGGAGAGGUUUGCAUGUGGAGGGGAGAUGGGGGGGGUGCCGGUGGAGGGGAUAGCUGCUUCCCCAGCACCUGUAAGGGCCAGGUGGGGUCUUGGAAAAAGACGGCAUUUUUUAUUAUAAAAAUGACACUGAAUCAUUGUAAAAACCUAAGACAGAGAUAGAGAUAUGGCCCCAUGCCUGGGGGGACUUACCAUGCAGGAUUUGGUGUGUGUCCUUCUGACUCUCUGUUCUCUGCCUGUGCAAAUAUACAUAUCACGUCUUUUCAAAUAAAAAAUGGAAAGCAUACAUAUUUUCAUGCAAUGUAC